UGGCUCAGAGGUUAAAGCAUCUGCCUGCAAUGCAGGAGACCUGGGUUCGAACCCUG
rnacentral:tRNA from 1 species